rnacentral:rRNA from 1 species
CAGUNUUAGCCGGUGCUUNUCUAGUCGGUACCGUCAAGAACUUCACGUGAUUAAGUAAAGUUUUUUCUUCCCAACUUAAAGUGCUUUACAACCCGAAGGCCUUCUUCACACACAGCAGGUAUUAGCUGGAUCAUGGCUUUCGCCCAUUGUCCAAUAUUCCCCACUGCUGCCUCCCAGUAGGA